CCUACGGGUGACUGCAGUGAGGAAUAUUGGUCACUGGACGCAACUCUGAACCAGCCAUGCCGCGUGCAGGAAGACGGCUCUAUGAGUUGUACACUGUUUUUGUACGAGGGUAAACGCAGAUACGCGUCUCUGACUGACAGUCUCGUACGUUUCAGGAUCGGCUAACUCCGUGCCAGCAGCCGUGGUAAUCCGGAGGAUUCAAGCGUUAUCCGGAUUUAUUGGGUUUAAAGGGUGCGUAGGCGGUCGGCUAAGUUAGAGGUGAAAUCCCGAGGCUCAACUUCGGAAUUGCCUUUGAUACUGUUCGGCUAGAGAGUAGUUGCGGUAAGCGGAAGGUAUGGUGUAGCGGUGAAAUGCUUAGAGAUCAGACAGAACACCGAUUGCGAAGGCAGCUUACCGAGCUACUUCUGACGUUGAGGCACGAAAGCGUGGGGAGCAAACAGGAUUAGAUACCCCAGUAGUC
rnacentral:rRNA from 1 species